rnacentral:rRNA from 1 species
CAUAAGCGGAGGAAAAGAAACCAACAGGGAUUGCCCCAGUAACGGCGAGUGAAGCGGCAACAGCUCAAAUUUGAAAUCUGGCUCUCGGGCCCGAGUUGUAAUUUGAAGAGGAUGUUUCUGGCAAGGUACCUUCUGAGUUCCCUGGAACGGGACGCCAUAGAGGGUGAGAGCCCCGUCUAGUUGGUCGCCGCGCCUCUGUGAAACUCCUUCGACGAGUCGAGUAGUUUGGGAAUGCUGCUCAAAAUGGGAGGUAUACGUCUUCUAAAGCUAAAUACCGGCCAGAGACCGAUAGCGCACAAGUAGAGUGAUCGAAAGAUGAAAAGCACUUUGAAAAGAGGGUUAAAUAGUACGUGAAAUUGUUGAAAGGGAAGCGCUCAUGACCAGACUUGGGCCGGUUGAUCAUCCAUCGUUCUCGGUGGUGCACUCUGCCGGUCCAGGCCAGCAUCAGUUUGCCCCGGGGGAUAAAGGCUUCGGGAAUGUGGCUCCCUAGGGAGUGUUAUAGCCCGUUGCGUAAUACCCUGUGGCAGACUGAGGUCCGCGCUCUGCAAGGAUGCUGGCGUAAUGGUCAUCAGCGACCCGUCUUGAAACACGGACCAAGGAGUCGUCUUCGUAUGCGAGUGUUCGGGUGUCAAACCCCUACGCGUAAUGAAAGUGAACGUAGGAGAGAGCUUCGGCGCAUCUCCGACCGAUCCUGAUGUUCUCGGAUGGAUUUGAGUAAGAGCAUACGGGGCCGGACCCGAAAGAAGGUGAACUAUGCCUGUAUAGGGUGAAGCCAGAGGAAACUCUGGUGGAGGCUCGCAGCGGUUCUGACGUGCAAAUCGAUCGUCAAAUAUGGGCAUGGGGGCGAAAGACUAAUCGAACCUUCUAGUAGCUGGUUUCCGCCGAAGUUUCCCUCAGGAUAGCAGUGUUGAACUCAGUUUUAUGAGGUAAAGCGAAUGAUUAGGGACUCGGGGGCGCUAUAUUGCCUUCAUCCAUUCUCAAACUUUAAAUAUGUAAGAAG